CCUACGGGUGGCAGCAGUAGGGAAUAUUGCUCAAUGGGGGGAACCCUGAAGCAGCAACGCCGCGUGGAGGAUGAAGGUUUUAGGAGUGGAAACUCCUGUUGGGAGAGAAGAGAAUGACGGUAGCUCACGAAUAAGCACCGGCUAACUCCGGGCCAGCAGCCGCGGUAAUACGGAGGGUGCAAGCGUUACUCGGAACCACUGGGCGUAAAGGGUGCGCAGGCGGGCUUGUAAGUCAGAUGUGAAAUCCUGUAGCUUAACUACAGAACUGCAUUUGAAACUAUGAGUCUAGAGUGUGGGAGAGGUAGGUGGAAUUCUUGGUGUAGGGGUCAAAUCCGUAGAUAUCACGAGGAAUACUCAUUGCGAAGGCGACCUACUGGAACAUUACUGACGCUCAUGCACGAAAGCGUGGGGAGCAAACAGGAUUAGAUACCCUUGUAGUC
rnacentral:rRNA from 1 species